rnacentral:rRNA from 1 species
AACGAACGCUGGCGGCAUGCCUAACACAUGCAAGUCGAACGAGACCUUCGGGUCUAGUGGCGCACGGGUGCGUAACGCGUGGGAACCUGCCCUUAGGUUCGGAAUAACUCCCCGGAAGGGGUGCUAAUACCGGAUAAUGUCUUCGGACCAAAGAUUUAUCGCCUUUGGAUGGGCCCGCGUUGGAUUAGCUAGUUGGUAGGGUAAAAGCCUACCAAGGCGACGAUCCAUAGCUGGUCUGAGAGGAUGAUCAGCCACACUGGGACUGAGACACGGCCCAGACUCCUACGGGAGGCAGCAGUGGGGAAUAUUGGACAAUGGGCGAAAGCCUGAUCCAGCAAUGCCGCGUGAGUGAUGAAGGCCUUAGGGUUGCAAAGCUCUUUUACCCGGGAUGAUAAUGACAGUACCGGGAGAAUAAGCUCCGGCUAACUCCGUG